rnacentral:rRNA from 1 species
CAGUAAGAUACUAAGAGCAUUUGGCGAAUGCCUUGGCACAGAGAGGCGAUGAAGGACGUGGCUACCUGCGAUAAUCUUCGGGGAGUUGGAAGCAAACUUUGAUCCGGAGGUCUCCGAAUGGGGUAACCCAAUACGAGUAAUGUCGUAUUAUUCUGUAAAGAAAGCGAACCUGGGGAAGUGAAACAUCUCAGUACCCAGAGGAAAAGAAAUCGAAUGAGAUUCCCUGAGUAGCGGCGAGCGAAAUGGGAAAAGCCCAAACCUGGUAGCAUGCUACCAGGGGUUGUAGGACUUCAAUAUGUAUUUAUAAUUAAUAAUAGAAUGGUUUGGAAAAAUCAGCCAUAGAAGGUGAUAGCCCUGUAAAUAAAAUUAAUUGUAAAACUAGGAGUAUCCUGAGUACCGCGGAGCAAGUGGAAUUCUGCGGGAAUCUGCCCAGACCACUGGGUAAGGCUAAAUACUCCUCUGUGACCGAUAGUGAACCAGUACCGUGAGGGAAAGGUGAAAAGAACCCUUAAGAAGGGAGUGAAAAGAAUCUGAAACCAAAUGCUUACAAACGGUGGGAGCAAACUAGCAAUUUUUUGCUAGGGAGUGACCUCGUGCCUUUUGCUUAAUGAGCCAACGAGUUGCUCGUUACAUGCAAGGGUAAGACUUUAAGAGUCGCACCCGCAGCGAAAGCGAGUCUGAAUAGGGCGAAUAGUAUGUAGCGGCAGACGCGAAACCAUGUGAUCUAUCCAUGAGCAGGAUGAAGCGUAGGUAACACUACGUGGAGGUCCGAACCACUAUAGGUUGAAAACUGUUUGGAUGACUUGUGGAUAGGGGUGAAAGGCCAAUCAAACUUGGUGAUAGCUCGUACUCCCCGAAAUGUUUUUUGGAACAGCCUUGCAUUAGUAUACCGGAGGUAGGGCUCUGAUAGGGCUAGGGCCAUUACAGUGGUACCGACCCCUGAUAAACUACAAAUUCCGGAUAUAUGAUGUGCAGGAGUGAGGCGGCGAGGGAUAAGCUUCGUUGCCGAGAGGAAAAGAAUCCAGACCUACAACUAAGGUCCCCAAAUAAAUGCUAACAGAGAAAGGAUGUUGUGCUGCCCAGACAGCCAGGAUGUUGGCUUAGAAGCAGCCACUCAUUUAAAGAGUGCGUAAUAGCUCACUGGUCGAGCGGCACAGCGCCGACAAUAAUCGGGACUAAGCAUUUUACCGAAGUUUAGGACUUGUAGCGAUACAAGUGGUAGGGGAGCAUUCUAUUGACAGUGAAGGUUUUAUGUGAGUAAGGCUGGAGUUAAUAGAAGAGCAUAUGUUGGCAUAAGUAACGAUAAUUCUGGUGAGAAUCCAGAACGCCGAAAACCUAAGGUUUCCUUGAGCUCUGUUCGUCAUCUCAGGGUUAGUCGGCCCCUAAGGCGAGACCGAAAGGUGUAGUCGAUGGGAAUCAGGCAUUUUUUAAUAUUCCUGAACCACCAACAGCGUUAAACACAGGGACGCAGGAGCCAAGCUAUAAAGAGUUAAUGGUUAUCUCUUUAUAGUGUAGCACACUGCCAAGAAAAGCUGUGUGUAUUGCUUAGGUGACCGUACCGUAAACCGACACAGGUGGGUGGGUUGAAUAUACUAAGGCGCGCGAGUGAGUCGCGGUUAAGGAACUCGGCAAAUUGACCCCGUAACUUCGGGAGAAGGGGUGCCUCAGAAAUGAGGCCGCAGUGAAUAGGCCUGGACGACUGUUUAACAAAAACACAUCUCUCUGCUAACUCGUAAAGAGGACGUAUAGGGAGUGACACCUGCCCGGUGCUGGAAGGUUAAAAGGAGAGGUUAGCAGCAAUGCGAAGCUUUGAAUUGAAGCCCCAGUAAACGGCGGCCGUAACUAUAACGGUAGUUCUUCGCUACACUAUAAUUUAUAUAGAGUUUAAAGAAGGGCCGUUAAAAAAUCUGGCUAAAUGCUGGAACAACUCAGUAUUUCAUAAUACUUAGAAGGUGACAAUUUAUGAAUGGAGACAAUCAGCAGGAAAGAAUUCUAACAUCAGAAUACCUUGCCGGCUUUAUUGAUGGUGAAGCCUGUUUUUCAGUAUCAAUACAUCCUAAUCCAAAUGCUAAAUUUGGUUGGAUUAUUGACCCUGAUUUUACAAUCAAUCAACAUAAAAGAAGCCGUGGAUUUCUUGAAAGUAUCAAGAAAUCCCUUGGAUGUGGUAAGAUAUACGAAAAAAGUUCAAACAAAUCAAAUGUUCUUACUUUUACAGUAUAUUCAAGAAGGACAAUAUUUGAAAAGAUAUUGCCUUUUAUUGACAAACAUCCUUUGCAUUCAAGUAAGCGAUAUGAUUAUCAAAUUUUUAGAGAAAUAAUCAUUAGAAUGCAGAAUAAAGAGCAUUCAACAAUCGAAGGAUUUCAUAGAAUUGCUAAAUUAGCAUUUAAAAUGAAUCCAGAAGGAAAACAAAGAGCUUACACGCUGAAUGAAGUGUUAAAAUUAUCCUCAGAGACUACACGCCAGACUACCAAAGCAAGACGGUAGAAGAUAUAGUCCGAACUCAAUAGCGAUAUUGAGAGUUGAGCAGAAAUGACUCAACCAAACUAAAAUUAUUUAUUUAGUUUGUAACAAAUGCCUAAGGUAGCGAAAUUCCUUGUCGGGUAAGUUCCGACCUGCACGAAUGGUGUAACGAUCUGGGCACUGUCUCAACCGCGAACUCGGUGAACUUGUGGUACCGGUGAA